GACAGAGGGUGCAAACGUUGUUCGGAUUUACUGGGCGUAAAGCGCGUGUAGGCGGCUUUGCAAGUCGGAUGUGGAAGCCCACGGCUCAACCGUGGAAGUGCAUCCGAAACUGCAUGGCUCGAGUCUCGGAGAGGAAGGUGGAAUGCUUGGUGUAGAGGUGAAAUUCGUAGAUAUCAAGCAGAACACCUGCGGCGAAGGCGGCCUUCUGGACGAUGACUGACGCUGAGACGCGAAAGCGUGGGGAGCAAACAGG
rnacentral:rRNA from 1 species